rnacentral:rRNA from 1 species
CUAAGAAUAUUCCGCAAUGGACGGAAGUCUGACGGAGCGACGCCGCGUGGAUGACGAAGGCCGAAAGGUUGUAAAGUUCUUUUGCUGGGGAAGAAUAACCGCAGGAGGGAAUGCCUGUGGGAUGACAAGAACCGGCGAAUAAGCCCCGGCCAACUACGUGCCAGCAGCCGCGGUAACACGUAGGGGGCGAGCGUUGUUCGGAAUUACUGGGCGUAAAGGGCAUGUAGGCGGCUUGGAAAGCCUGGCGUGAAAGUCUGCAGCUUAACUGCAGGGGUGCGCUGGGAACUGCUGAGCUUGAGUGACGGAGAGGGAGCUGGAAUUCCUGGUGUAGGGGUGAAAUCUGUAGAUAUCAGGAAGAACACCGAUGGCGAAGGCAAGCUCCUGGCCGAUGACUGACGCUGAGGUGCGAAAGUGUGGGGAUCAAACAGGAUUAGAUACCCUGGUAGUCCACACAGUCAACGAUGUGCAUUAGGUGCUGGGGCGGUAGCUUCGGUGCCGGAGCGAACGUGGUAAGUGCACCGCCUGGGGAGUAUGCUCGCAAGGGUGAAACUUAAAUGAUUGACGGGGUCAUAGCUGUUUCCU